UUCAUUUUGCUUAGGUUAUUACUCUUCAAUAUGAGUGUUGUAGGAAUCCUAAUGUUUGUUGCACUGAUCAUUUCAUAUGCUGAUUGUCAGCCCCCAGUGUUGGUACUUGAUAAUGUUAUUGUAAAUGUUGGACAAAGAGCAUCUUUCACCUGCAAGAUUGGAGCUAAAGAUGGUUACUAUGUAACUUUCUAUAAAAAAAACCCUGGAGAAGUUCCUCAGCUUAUACUGUAUAAUCACCACUCUCUCACAGCUGCUGGAUAUGGUCCUGGAAUGUCAUCAGCACAAUAUACAAGUUCCAUAAACAGCGCUGGAACAGAAUAUCAGCUAAUUAUAACAAACGCAGAAGCAACAGACACUUCUUUAUAUUACUGUGCUAAAUGGUACAGUGCAGGAUACCACAGUGAUAAACAGCAGAACAAAAUCUAUAUUUACACAUCUUGCAGAUGA